UUGGUGGACGACACCCGAGUAAUUGCCGCCGAUCGCACGGCCUCCGAGCCGGCGACACCUUCACUGAGUUUCUGAUCUAUCAUGCUGACGACGGUUGGUGCUAUGCCAACCGUGGCGUUAACGGAUAACAGAGAAUCUGGGUUCGAUUCUGGAGAGGCCGCAUGAGAAACGGCGACCACUUCCAAGGAAGGCAGCAGGCACGCAAAUUACCCACUUCGGACACCGAGAGGUAGUGACGAACAAUACCGAUGCGGCGCACUUACGUGUCGCCGUAAUCGGAAUGAGUACAAUUCAAAUCCUUUAACGAGGAUCAACUGGAGGGCAAGCCUGGUGCCAGCAGCCGCGGUAAUUCCAGCUCCAGCAGCGUAUAUUUAUAUUGCUGCGUUUAAAAAGCUCGUAGUUGAAGCGUCAGACGCGGGAGGGCGGACGGCCGCACAGGUCGCUCUCGCCCGACCGAGCCAGGCGCAGAGGGCGCGCGUCGCUUGCACUUUGCCGUGUGAGCGCGCCGCCGCUGCACGUUCACCUUGAAGAAAUUGAACCGCUUAGAGGGGGCGAGCAGCUUGAACAGCUCAGCAUGGUAUGAUGGAACAUGGGCUCGUACUCAUUUUGUUGGUUAGAGAGUUGGCGAGCCAAUGAUUAACAGGGACUGCCGGGGGCAUUCGUACUCGGACGGGAGAGGUGAAAUUCAAGGAUCGUCCGAAGACGCCCUACUGCGAAAGCAUUUGCCAAGAAUGUUUUCAUUAAUCAAGAACGAAAGUCAGAGGUGCGAAGGCGAUCAGAUACCGCCGUAGUUCUGACCGUAAACGAUGCCGACUGGCAAUUGGGCGCACUUCUGUCGAAGUUGCCGCCAGCAGUACUGCCCGGGAAACCAAAGUCAUUGGGUUCCGGGGGGAGUAUGGUUGCAAAGCUGAAACUUAAAGGAAUUGACGGAAGGGCACCACCAGGAGUGGAGCCUGCGGCUUAAUUUGACUCAACACGGGAAACCUCACCCGGCCCGAACACUGUUAUGACAGACAGGUUGAGAGCUCUUUCUCGAUUCAGUGGUUGGUGGUGCAUGGCCGUUCUUAGUUCGUGGAGCGAUCUGUCUGGUUAAUUCCGAUAACGAACGAGACUCUUGCCUGCUAAAUAGACGGCGCCGACAUAGCACGGCGACCGUUUGCUUCUUAGAGGGACAAGCGGCUUUUAGCCGCGUGAAGCCGAGAGCAAUAACAGGUCAGUGAUGCCCUCAGAUGUUCGGGGCCGCACGCGCGCUACACUGUUUGCAUCAGCGUGUUACUCCCGCGCCGGCUGGCGUGGGCAACCCGUUGAACCGCAAACGUGCUAGGGAUCGGAGAUUGCAAUUGUUCUCCGUGAACGAGGAAUUCCUUGUACUGGCGAGUCAUCAGCUCGCGGGGAAUCUGUCCCUGCCCUUUGUACACACCGCCCGUCGCUACUACCGAUUGAGUGGUUUAGUGAGGCUCACGGACUGCGCGCGGCACACGGCGUCUUCGGGCGCCGCGUCGCGAGGCGGAAAGUGAGACGAACUUGAUCACUUC
rnacentral:rRNA from 1 species